GCGAGCCAAAUGAACGGUUCUUUCACAAGUGAUUCGGUUCCGAAAAGAUCCGUUCAAAAAUAGCCAUUUGUUCGCGAACCGACCCAUCACUAUCUUGUAGCCUACAGAUACAUAACCAGUACAAUUGGAUUUGCUCAACUCCUGCGCAAUUUCUUCCGUCCUUUUGAAAAAGGUACAAGUUAAAACAGGAUAGGCGGCGAGGAAAGGGAACGUGGAUGAAAAUGCGCUUGUAUGAGGGCCGUACGCUAGUGGACGGGUCCGUUGGCACGGCGUGUGCAGCGGUGGAAAAGAACAGAAUUUCCCAACUUCGUGCAAAUCACAAGCGGCAAACGCUGGCCAAUGACCAAUCAUGUGGAGUGAUUCCUAUCAUGAAUAUUACGCUCUGAGACUCAACGCUGGAGAGUUUCCCCAGAAAAGAUGGCUGACAAAAAUACUAGUGUGGACAGGUCUCCUGAGAAAACCAUCAAACCAGGCUGUCGUCUUGUGAAACAGUGGAUGUAAAGAAUCUAGCUAGCUAAAGCAUUUACUGCAAAAUUGAAUGGACAAUUUUGUAAGCUGGCCUUGCUGAUAUUUUCCAUGCAAUGCAGUUGAAGUAAUGUAGUUAGCUAACUCUUUUCUUGCUUUUUGUGUAGUGGAGGAUAACAAUAAUUAUGCCUAUGGAUGUGUAGCUAGCUAUGUAGCCGAUCUGUGUAUGGAACCUAAAAUGUUUGCUAUAAAUAUUAGUUCAGAACAGUGUUUUUAAUUGCUUCCACCAUUUAAUCAUUAAUCCCCAAUAAAUAUGCACAUGAUUGUUAAAUGUCAAUAGUACAAUGUCAAUAUUAAAUAGCUAGCUACGAACCUAGGUAUGAACCUCAGCUAUCAUAGCUGGUUGUAUUGACUUCAAGACACUCUGAAAAGCAUCAAUGAAGUCUAUUGAUUGAGUAAAAUGUAAUAACUUUGUGCCAAGGAUGCAAGUUGUACUGUAAAUACAUGUAGUUAUUACCAAGCAUGAGUUUCUGACAUUGUAGCCUGUACAUUUAAUAUAUUCACUGAUCGUGUACUCUACUUUGGCAAAUAAAGGUACAGGUCAUGUA